rnacentral:snoRNA from 1 species
AGUCCAUAGUAUGGGCAGUAUCGCAAUAGGUCCUUGUAUCUCUCCCAAGUGUCAUACAUCAACUCAUCAUCAAACUGCACAAAAAAAGAUAAAUCAUUUCUAAGUUU